GUGCCAGCAGCCGCGGUAAUACAGAGGUCUCAAGCGUUGUUCGGAUUCAUUGGGCGUAAAGGGUGCGUAGGCGGCGCGGUAAGUCGGGUGUGAAAUUUCGAGGCUUAACUUCGAAACUGCAUUCGAUACUGCCGUGCUUGAGGACUGGAGAGGAGACUGGAAUUUACGGUGUAGCGGUGAAAUGCGUAGAUAUCGUAAGGAAGACCAGUGGCGAAGGCGGGUCUCUGGACAGUUCCUGACGCUGAGGCACGAAGGCCAGGGGAGCAAACGGGAUUAGAAACCCGUGUAGUCC
rnacentral:rRNA from 1 species